GUGCUGAAACGUUCAUCUGAAGGAGGAUUUAGCAGUAAGCAGGAAGUAGAGCGUCCAGCUGAAAUUGGCCCUGAAGCGUGCACACACCGCCCGUCACUCUCCCCAAAACCACCCUUUCAAUUAACUAAACCCUAAUAAUUUUAAAGGGGAGGCAAGUCGUAACAUGGUAAGUGUACCGGAAGGUGCACUUGGAAAAAUC
rnacentral:rRNA from 1 species